UACGUAGGGUGCAAGCGUUAAUCGGAAUUACUGGGCGUAAAGCGUGCGCAGGCGGUCUUGCAAGACAGAUGUGAAAUCCCCGGGCUUAACCUGGGAACUGCAUUUGUGACUGCAAGGCUGGAGUGCGGCAGAGGGGGAUGGAAUUCCGCGUGUAGCAGUGAAAUGCGUAGAUAUGCGGAGGAACACCGAUGGCGAAGGCAAUCCCCUGGGCCUGCACUGACGCUGAGACGCGAAAGCGUGGGGAGCAAACAGG
rnacentral:rRNA from 1 species